UACGUAGGGGGCUAGCGUUGUCCGGAAUCAUUGGGCGUAAAGCGCGCGUAGGCGGCCCGGUAAGUCCGCUGUGAAAGUCGGGGGCUCAACCCUCGAAUGCCGGUGGAUACUGUCGGGCUAGAGUGCGGAAGAGGCGAGUGGAAUUCCCGGUGUAGCGGUGAAAUGCGCAGAUAUCGGGAGGAACACCAAUGGCGAAGGCAGCUCGCUGGGACGGUACUGACGCUGAGACGCGAAAGCGUGGGGAGCAAACAGG
rnacentral:rRNA from 1 species